CCGAUGAAGGACGUUACUAACGACGAUAUGCUUUGGGGAGCUGUAAGUAAGCUUUGAUCCAGAGAUUUCCGAAUGGGGAAACCCAGCAUGAGUUAUGUCAUGUUAUCGAUAUGUGAAUACAUAGCAUAUCAGAAGGCACACCCGGAGAACUGAAACAUCUUAGUACCCGGAGGAAGAGAAAGAAAAUUCGAUUCCCUUAGUAGCGGCGAGCGAAACGGGAAGAGCCCAAACCAACAAGCUUGCUUGUUGGGGUUGUAGGACACUCUAUACGGAGUUACAAAGGACGACAUUAGACGAAUCAUCUGGAAAGAUGAAUCAAAGAAGGUAAUAAUCCUGUAGUCGAAAAUGUUGUCUCUCUUGAGUGGAUCCUGAGUACGACGGAGC
rnacentral:rRNA from 1 species